rnacentral:rRNA from 1 species
UACGAAGGGGGCUAGCGUUGUUCGGAAUUACUGGGCGUAAAGGGCGCGUAGGCGGUGUGUCAAGUCAGGCGUGAAAGCCCCGGGCUCAACCUGGGAACCGCGCUUGAGACUGGCACGCUCGAGUUCGGGAGAGGAUGGUGGGAUUCCCAGUGUAGAGGUGAAAUUCGUAGAUAUUGGGAAGAACACCGAUGGCGAAGGGCAGCCAUCUGGACCGACACUGACGCUGAGGCGCGGAAAGCGUGGGGAGCAAACAGG